AUUUCAUUACACAUCUAUUCUAUUAAGUCUCUAUUCCAUUACAGCGAACCAAACUUGUUAUUAAUUUUCCCCUAAAAAUUAGAAUCCCCAAAUCCCUAAUUCCCCAAAUCUUCAUCCCCAAAUCGUCUCCCUUCCCCUUUCUUUUUCCUUCUCCCUGCUAUUCUGCUUCUUUGUUCCCUCUGUUUUCUUCUGAAUUCUCGGCUUCUCCUUCUGUCCGCCUUUCUCUUUUCUGCUUUUCUUCUGGCUUUAUAUUUCGAUCCAUAAUAGUCGAUUCUGUCAUAUGAUCGUCGCACCAUUCUGGGUGUAGCUUCCUCAUGGCCAGUCACGCCUUUUAAAUAUUGAGAUCGUCAGUUUGAAGCCUAGAAAUUAAAGAGCUAAAGGCUUAUAAUCUGUCUAAAGAUCACAAACCAGAGCCUGAGUUGGAGAAAGAUAGGAUUUUGAAAGCUGGUGGUUUUAUUCAAGUGGGACGUAUCAAUGGAAGUUUAAACAUGGCCAGGGCUAUUGGUACCUUCUGGAGAUUUGGGUGUGCGGAGCUCAAACAAAAUAAAACUCUGCCAGCUGAAAAGCAGAUUGUAACAGCUAAUCCAGACAUAAACGCUGUAAGUGAGUAGCUGUUUGCUCUAAUAUUUGUGUAACUCUUCCAACUCAUUUUAUAACUUUUGAUAAUGACCAAUUGAUUUAAUAAAGGAACUAUCUUAUCAGAAUUUUAAAAAAUAA